rnacentral:tRNA from 2 species
GGCCCCAUCGUCUAGCCUGGUCUAGGACGCCAGGUUUUCAUCCUGGUAACACCGGUUCAAAUCCGGUUGGGGUCA